AUUGAACGCUGGCGGAAUGCUUUACACAUGCAAGUCGAACGGUAGAGGGGCAACCCUUGAGAGUGGCGAACGGGUGAGUAAUGUAUCGGAACAUGCCCAGUCGUGGGGGAUAACGUAGCGAAAGUUACGCUAAUACCGCAUACGAUCUAUGGAUGAAAGCGGGGGAUCGCAAGACCUCGCGCGAUUGGAGUGGCCGAUAUCAGAUUAGGUAGUUGGUGGGGUAAAGGCCUACCAAGCCGACGAUCUGUAGCUGGUCUGAGAGGACGACCAGCCACACUGGGACUGAGACACGGCCCAGACUCCUACGGGAGGCAGCAGGGGGGAAUUUUGGACAAUGGGCGCAAGCCUGAUCCAGCCAUUCCGCGUGCAGGAAGAAGGCCUUCGGGUUGUAAACUGCUUUUGUACGGAACGAAACGCGCUGAGCUAAUACCUCGGCGUAAUGACGGUACCGUAAGAAUAAGCACCGGCUAACUACGUGCCAGCCGCCGCCGUAACAC
rnacentral:rRNA from 1 species